rnacentral:rRNA from 1 species
UACGUAGGGACCAAGCGUUGUUCGGAUUUACUGGGCGUAAAGGGCGCGUAGGCGGCGUGGUAAGUCACUUGUGAAAUCUCCGAGCUUAACUCGGAACGGUCAAGUGAUACUGCUGUGCUAGAGUGCAGAAGGGGCAAUCGGAAUUCUUGGUGUAGCGGUGAAAUGCGUAGAUAUCAAGAGGAACACCUGAGGUGAAGACGGGUUGCUGGGCUGACACUGACGCUGGAGGCGCGAAAGCUAGGGUAGCAAACGGG